rnacentral:rRNA from 1 species
GAUGAACGCUGGCGGCGUGCUUAACACAUGCAAGUCGAACGGUGAACGAGCGAGCUUGCUCCCUCCGGAUCAGUGGCGAACGGGUGAGUAACACGUGAGCAAUCUGCCCUGGACUCUGGGAUAAGCGUUGGAAACGACGUCUAAUACCGGAUACGAGACGCAAAGGCAUCUUCCGCGUCUGGAAAGCACUUCGGUCCAGGAUGAGCUCGCGGCCUAUCAGGGAGUUGGUGAGGUAACGGCUCACCGAGCCUACGACGGGUAGCCGGCCUGAGAGGGUGACCGGCCACAAUGGGACUGAGACACGGCCCAGACUCCUACGGGAGGCAGCAGUGGGGAAUAUUGCACAAUGGGCGCAAGCCUGAUGCAGCAACGCCGCGUGAGGGACGACGGCCUUCGGGUUGUAAACCUCUUUUAGCAGGGAAGAAGAGAAAGUGACGGUACCUGCAGAAAAAGCACCGGCUAACUACGUGCCAGCAGCCGCGGUAACAC